rnacentral:rRNA from 1 species
UGGGGAAUAUUGGACAAUGGGCGCAAGCCUGAUCCAGCCAUGCCGCGUGAGUGAUGAAGGCCCUAGGGUUGUAAAGCUCUUUCACCGGUGAAGAUAAUGACGGUAACCGGAGAAGAAGCCCCGGCUAACUUCGUGCCAGCAGCCGCGGUAAUACGAAGGGGGCUAGCGUUGUUCGGAUUUACUGGGCGUAAAGCGCACGUAGGCGGACUAUUAAGUCAGGGGUGAAAUCCCGGGGCUCAACCCCGGAACUGCCUUUGAUACUGGUAGUCUUGAGUUCGAGAGAGGUGAGUGGAAUUCCGAGUGUAGAGGUGAAAUUCGUAGAUAUUCGAAGGAACACCAGUGGCGAAGGCGGCUCACUGGCACGAUACUGACGCUGAGGUGCGAAAGCGUGGGGAGCAAACAGG